UUUCCCACUGAACGAACCAUCGAUGUCGACUAGGUUAUGGACGCACGGAUGAGGCUGAUAAUCCAGGCAGCAGCACUGAUUAGUGUGAUUCAGGCAUGGGUCAUGUUCAUGAACCAGAGAGUUGUUCGUCGUGCUGGGAGGCCUUUGAUCCGCUAUGGUCCAUUGUUUCUCCGGGAACAGGGGAGGAUCCAAAAUCUGAACUACAUCUACAACUGCAAUGAUGUCGAGGCUCUGUGGAUGCUUCGAAUGAAAAGAGCACCAUUUGCCAGGCUUGUCGAGACCUUCAGGAGCUGGGGGCUGCUACAAGAUAGCAUCAACACCAAUGUCGAAGAGUAAGUGGCCAUGUUCCUCCAUGUUGUUGGCCAUAACCAGAGGUUCAGGGUCAUUCACAACACGUUCAGGAGAUCAAUGGAGACCAUCUCUAGGUACUUCAAGCAAGUGCUUUUUGCUAUUGGGGAGCUUAGAGGAGAGAUGAUCAGGAGACCAUCUGGUCAGACUCCACCCAAGAUUCGCGGAAGCCCAAGAUGGUAUCCAUACUUCAAGGUGGGCAUUGACAAUAUACACUUUUCAUGGCUUGAUAUGCUUGUAUUGUUCAAGUUGAGCACUAACUGUAACACCCCGGAUGUAACUUUCCAUAUUUGUAACUCCAACUCUUGCCAUUUUCGGCUAUGUGUUAUGAUAUUCCUUCCGUGGUUGGGUUUUGUCUCUCGUUUUGCAUUUUGUUCAUGUCAUGCAUCUCAUAUCAUGUCAUCAUGUGCAUUGCAUUUGCAUACGUGUUCAUCUUAUGCAUCCGAGCAUUUUCCCCGCUGUCUGUUUUGCGAUCCGACACUCCCACGUACACCGGCGCACCCCUCUUGUUUUUUUUCGUGA
rnacentral:rRNA from 1 species